UAGCUCUCCCUGGCUGGUAGCUUCUCACUGCCUAUCAGUUCUCAUCAGAAAACCGAGCUCGACACCUACCUGACCGCUCCCAGGCCUCCACUAUCAUCCUCACAACUGAAAACAGUACCAGACACUGACAUGAGCAGUGAGGCCAUACAGGAACUGUACGCCAAAUCAGAUUCUCUACAACCUAACAGUUAGCCUCAGACAACCCAGGAGCAGAAGAGCGCAUCCUUUCUUUCAAACAAAGGCCUGGAAAGGAGAGAGCAGGAGGAAGAACCCCAACACGGCUCUCAGUGAACAUUUAAAUGCUGGUUUUCCUCAAGGAGAGGGGCUCAUUAAGUCUAAGACCCCUUGUUCAACCACGGACCCUGUUUACUAAAGACUGACAAGAGGAGAAACUCUACAAAGCCGGCUUGAGAAAGCAGGGAGUCCACUUUGUAUCAAACCUCAAUCCUGGAAAUUGAAUGUUUAAUUCAUAGAGUAAAUUAUAAGCGAUUACUUCUGCAAGUAACGGCAAUGUCCUUAAAAUUAUUCUUUAACUGAGGAAAAGUUUUUUUUUUUUUGACCUUUGGAGAAAAUGCUUGCUUCUAGCUAUGACUAAAAAGAGGUCUCCUUCUCUCUCUCUGUUGUGCUAAGAAUCUUUUCUUCUUUAUA